rnacentral:rRNA from 1 species
UACGUAGGGGACGAGCGUUGUCCGGAAUUACUGGGCGUAAAGGUCGCGCAGGCGGUAUAUCAAGUCAGCUGUCAAAGACUGGGGCUCAACCCUGGUAUGCGGUUGAAACUGAUAUGCUGGAGUGCUGUAGAGGCAAGUGGAAUUCCCAGUGUAGCGGUGAAAUGCGUAGAUAUUGGGAAGAACACCGGUGGCGAAGGUGACUUGCUGGGCAGCAACUGACGCUGAGGCGCGAAAGCCAGGGGAGCAAACGGGAUUAGAUA